GGGCUUGUGGUUUAGUGGUAUAAUACUCCCUUAGCACCUAUAAAGUGCAGCAUGGGAGUGGUCCGGGGUUCGAUUCCCCGCGAGUCCA